CCACGGAGGACAUGGUGGCCUCUGCUACUGUGGCGCGGAGCCUUGCUUCUGUUGGAGCGUUACAGGAGAUCUGUCUCGCGUCAGUGCUGUUUGAUGAGGUCUGCUGGUGGUUGGCAUAAUGGACUGAGGAACCAUUAUGAGUUCAACAAGGCCAACACCUGCUUCAUGUGUGCCACUGAUAAAGAACCUGGAUGAGGCCCAAAGACUGACUGGGAAUGAAGACAAGAGUUCAGAGUGAAGAACACAAACUGGAAGUGAUGUCUUUGUUGUUGAAAAUGUAUGCUAUACCCAAUCCACACUGAAGAGGCUCGGAAAUGUACAUCAACCAGGGAUAAAGAGAAAGUGAACACUGAAAUGUUUUGUACUUAUUUGAAGUGAAGUGUCUGACAUAUUGUAGACUUUUAAUCUUUUCCAACUUCUGUUUAAUUUGUCAACAUCCCAUUUUUCUUCAUUGAUUUUCUGGCCACCAUUACUGCGCUUACAUGUUCAGUAUUUGUAUUGACCAGCAAACCCACCUUACUCUCCAUCCCGGCUUUGGACAAUUAAUAAAACAUGACUCGUACUUUGUGCUUUUAUGGUUGAUA